GUGAAUCAUCAAAUUUUUGAACGCAUAUUGCACUCUCUGGUAUUCCGGAGAGUAUGCCUAUUUGAGGGUCAUUUAAAAUAAUAUAAAUUCCAAGAUGUCUCGGAAUUUAAAAUUGGGUGUCCAUUUUUUGUGGUCGCCUAAAAUCCAAUACAAGCUCAUUUUCUUGGGUUGCGUGAUACUCUCAGUUACCUCGUGACUUAACCAAGAAUCAGCGGGCGUGUUAUGAAUGUUGCAAGAGAUGAAUUCCAUAUAUUUAUCUCAUGCGAAAGAUGAAUGGAAUCAUGACCUCAAAUUAGGUAAA
rnacentral:misc_RNA from 1 species